GGGUUUAGCUCAGUGGUUGGAGCACCCGUCAAUUGUACGGAAGGUCGUUGGUUCGAUUCCAGCGACCUA
rnacentral:tRNA from 1 species